rfam:Gorilla gorilla gorilla genomic chromosome, chr1, whole genome shotgun sequence
GCCAGGUGUGGUGGUGCACACCUGUAAUCCCAGCUACUCGGGAGGCUGAGGCAUGAGAAUCACUUGAACCCAGGAGGUGGAGGUUGCAGUGCGUUGAGAUUAUGUCACUGCACUCCAGCCUGGGUGACAGAGUGAGACCCUGUCUCAA